CAGGAAGAUCAGAGCAGGAAGUGGAGACGCCGGGAUGGAGGUAAUCCAAGCCAAAAGUUCUAAAAUAUUCAGUAUCGGCACGAAAUGCCCCCCAAAAAACUGAGGGAUCAAGUGGCCAGUUUCACCGGCGGGUGCUGUAAGAAACUUUGAACUUUUGCGUGAGAAAUUGGUAACUCACUGAAACCGACAGCGAGUCCACCAGCAGCGCUUUGAUUCAUCAGCCAUGGCCGGCCAAGAGGCUUAAGACUGCCGCCAGGUCUCCCCCGUGCGUCGGCAUCCACUGGCCAGCUGGAUACAAACAGCGAUGACACUUCAGAGACGGACUUUUCCGACCCUGACCCCUUUUCAGACUCUGAGGAAUGGCUGCCGAGUGAGAGGAGCGGAUCCUGUUCUCCGUCCCAGAGUGUUGGAGAAGCAGAGUUGAGAGAGGAGUAAGCCCCAUGCAAUUCUGUAACACCGUCUGUUGGCAGAAAAAGAGGCAGUGCCAGAGGACACGCAAGCAGGAAAGGACGUGGGCGUAUCGGGGGUCCCGUGGCGGCCGUCCAGUUGUAUUGUGCUG